rnacentral:rRNA from 1 species
ACUCCUACGGGAGGCAGCAGUAAGGAAUAUUGGACAAUGGGCGCAAGCCUGAUCCAGCCAUCCCGCGUGCAGGAAGACCAGCCCUUAUGGGUUUUAAACUGCAUUUAGAAAGGGAAGAAACGCCCUACAUUUAUGUGGGUUUGACGGUACCUUCAGAAUAAGACACCGGCUAACUCCGUGCCAGCAGCCGCGGUAAUACGGAGGGUGCGAGCGUUAUCCGGAAUUACUGGGUUUAAAGGGUGCGUAGGCGGGCGAUUAAGUCAGAGGUGAAAGCUUUCAGCUUAACUGAGGAAAUUGCCUUUGAUACUGAUUGUCUUGAAAUAUGUUGAGGUUAGCAGAAUG